rnacentral:rRNA from 1 species
UUCGCCCUUAGAGUUUGAUCCUGGCUCAGGACGAACGCUGGCGGCGCGCCUAACACAUGCAAGUCGAACGAGUGAGAGAGAGCUUGCUUUCUCGAGCGAGUGGCGAACGGGUGAGUAACGCGUGAGGAACCUGCCUCAAAGAGGGGGACAACAGUUGGAAACGACUGCUAAUACCGCAUAAGCCCACGACCCGGCAUCGGGUAGAGGGAAAAGGAGCAAUCCGCUUUGAGAUGGCCUCGCGUCCGAUUAGCUAGUUGGUGAGGUAACGGCCCACCAAGGCAACGAUCGGUAGCCGGACUGAGAGGUUGAACGGCCACAUUGGGACUGAGACACGGCCCAGACUCCUACGGGAGGCAGCAGUGGGGAAUAUUGCACAAUGGGGGAAACCCUGAUGCAGCGACGCCGCGUGGAGGAAGAAGGUCUUCGGAUUGUAAACUCCUGUUGUUGAGGAAGAUAAUGACGGUACUCAACAAGGAAGUGACGGCUAACUACGUGCCAGCAGCCGCGGUAAAACGUAGGUCACAAGCGUUGUCCGGAAUUACUGGGUGUAAAGGGAGCGCAGGCGGGAAGACAAGUUGGAAGUGAAAUCCAUGGGCUCAACCCAUGAACUGCUUUCAAAACUGUUUUUCUUGAGUAGUGCAGAGGUAGGCGGAAUUCCCGGUGUAGCGGUGGAAUGCGUAGAUAUCGGGAGGAACACCAGUGGCGAAGGCGGCCUACUGGGCACCAACUGACGCUGAGGCUCGAAAGUGUGGGUAGCAAACAGGAUUAGAUACCCUGGUAGUCCACACCGUAAACGAUGAUUACUAGGUGUUGGAGGAUUGACCCCUUCAGUGCCGCAGUUAACACAAUAAAUUAAUCCACCUGGGGGAGUACCACCCGCAGGGGUUGAAACUCAAAGGAAUUGACGGGGGCCCGCACAAGCAGUGGAGUAUGUGGUUUAAUUCGACGCAACGCGAAGAACCUUACCAAGUCUUGACAUCCCUUGACGAUGCUGGAAACAGUAUUUCUCUUCGGAGCAAGGAGACAGGUGGUGCAUGGUUGUCGUCAGCUCGUGUCGUGAGAUGUUGGGUUAAGUCCCGCAACGAGCGCAACCCUUAUGGUCAGUUACUACGCAAGAGGACUCUGGCCAGACUGCCGUUGAUAAAACGGAGGAAGGUGGGGAUGACGUCAAAUCAUCAUGCCCUUUAUGACUUGGGCUACACACGUACUACAAUGGCGUUAAACAAAGAGAAGCAAGACCGCGAGGUGGAGCAAAACUCAGAAACAACGUCCCAGUUCGGACUGCAGGCUGCAACUCGCCUGCACGAAGUCGGAAUUGCUAGUAAUCGUGGAUCAGCAUGCCACGGUGAAUACGUUCCCGGGCCUUGCACACACCGCCCGUCA